UUCACUAUUAAAAUAUUUUCCCCCCAAGUCUCAAAUAUUGAAGAAUCUCUAACCAGGGACACCAGUCCCAACGAAGACCUUGGGCGAUUUCAAAGUGCGGGCACCUCGAUUCCCCGAAUCUGUAGUGUGGCUGGUAUCGGUGUUUCCCUGGUUUAACUAGCCUGCUUGUGGAAGUGACUCUGACCGUUCCCUUAAGAAUCUUUAAUGCUCUUACAUGAGAUGAGCCUCAGAACAAGCUAAGAACCCUCUGAAAGAACAUCAAGCCUGGAAGGUGACAGAAGGAGCAAUGUGUUCUUGAAGAUGUCACCUCAGCCCACCUGCUCCAAGAACAGUGCUUCUUGCGACACUCUGAUGGCUCUGCAUUCUUUUCUGUACCAGGAAGGCGCAGAUCAUUCAUGGGGAAGUAAAACCGAAACCAGUCCUCUCCACCCCCUGCGGGUCUUCACUUUCCCAGUCUACAUCUGCCUGUGACUCCAGAAAGACAAACUGCAGAUUGGCCAAGGUACAUCUCAGAUCAGAUCCCUCUGGGAAAAGCGCGGGAAUGCUUGGCUCUAGUAGUUAGGAGCUCUGGUGAGAGCGCCCCUAGUGCCAUUUUCCCAUCCCUGCCCUUGACGGUCCCCUUUGGUCUAAAUUCACGGUUCUAGACAGUCAAAGUCUACCUGCUGGAUGUCCACUUUCAAGCCAUAGGUUUUCAAUACUAAAAGCGAUUAGGACCUUGGCUCAAAAUGUGGUCAACGCAGUGUUCAAAUUAGGAGGGCAGCUGGGAGAUGGCAGCAGGGGAUGAAAGUAUGACUCCUACUUUGUCCCCAACUGUGAGUCUGGCACCCCUUGACUUGCCAGUAUGCUGGCAAACAACCCAUCUCUUUUGGAGAAUCCACACUUCGUUUCUUCUAGGUCCAGCCUAAAUGUUACCUCCUCCAGGGAGCCUUUCCAGAUACUGCUUCUCCUCUCUCCCCCAACUCCCUCCCACAA
rnacentral:antisense_RNA from 1 species